GUAAGGAAUAUUGGUCAAUGGAGGGAACUCUGAACCAGCCAUGCCGCGUGCAGGAAGACUGCCCUAUGGGUUGUAAACUGCUUUUGUCUGGGAAUAAAUGUAAGUACGAGUACUUAUUUGAAUGUACCAGAAGAAUAAGGAUCGGCUAACUCCGUGCCAGCAGCCGUGGUAAUACGGAGGAUCCGAGCGUUAUCCGGAUUUAUUGGGUUUAAAGGGUGCGUAGGCGGCUUUAUAAGUCAGAGGUGAAAUACGGCAGCUCAACUGUCGCAGUGCCUUUGAUACUGUAGAGCUUGAAUGUGAUUGAAGAUGGCGGAAUGAGACAAGUAGCGGUGAAAUGCAUAGAUAUGUCUCAGAACCCCGAUUGCGAAGGCAGCUGUCUAAGUCAUGAUUGACGCUGAUGCACGAAAGCGUGGGGAUCAAACAGGAUUAGAAACCCUGGUAGUCC
rnacentral:rRNA from 1 species